rnacentral:lncRNA from 1 species
GUGUUAUUGGUCACAUGGUUAGCAGAUGUUAUUGGUCACAUGGUUAGCAGAUGUUAUUGGUCACAUGGUUAGCAGGUGUUAUUGGUCACAUGGUUAGCAGGUGUUAUUGGUCACAUGGUUAGCAGGUGUUAUUGGUCACAUGGUUAGCAGAUGUUAUUGGUCACGUGGUUAGCAGAUGUUAUUGGUCACAUGGUUAGCAGAUGUUAUUGGUCACAUGGUUAGCAGAUGUUAUUGGUCACAUGGUUAGCAGAUGUUAUUGGUCACAUGGUUAGCAGGUGUUAUUGGUCACAUGGUUAACAGAUGUUAUUGGUCACAUAGUUAGCAGGUGUUAAUGCGAGUGUAGCGAAAUGCUUGUGCUUCUCGUUCCGACACCAGUUUCAAACAGCUGAAAAUAAUAUUUUUGGUUAUUGAAAAUAUAUUUCACAGAAAUGUAGAAGGUAGAAUGAGUCUACACUAUACCAGAUUAAUGUAGAAGGUACAAUCACUCUCUACACUAGAUUAAUGUAGAAGGUACAAUCACUCUACCAGAUUAAUUUUGUCACAUAAACUGAAAUUAACUAUUAAGAGUUUAAGCAACCAGGAAAUGAUUGAGCAAUGUCUGCAUAGUGCAACUUUGAGUUGUACUAGUUGUAUGUACAGAUAUAUAAAUGGUAGACGUCGUACAACGAAAUGCUUUACUUUCAUAACACUAAUCAGCUAUUAGCUUGUUAUAGUACACAGCUAUGUGACACAGAUAGUAAACAGAAUAGUGAGUUUCCACAACAGCUGACUGAGAGAGUGUUGAAGUGUGAGGCUCAACUUCUCAACUGGUUUAGUCCCCUGGCUACCAUGUUGUGAGAGUGAGAGUGUUGCGUCUCUCUCAUCGUAAUAUCUGCGGUGUUGCUGCUCGUCGUAAUGUCGUUUCGUUGAGUCUAUUACCUUCACACCGUCUCCAGUAACGACCUACUUCCAGUCCCGCUGGGCACAGACGUCAGUUCGACGUCUAGUUUUCAUUUACAUUUGGUUGAUUUGUCA